UAAGAGGUCCCGCCUGCCCUGUGACUAUAUGUUUAACGGCCGCGGUAUUUUGACCGUGCGAAGGUAGCGCAAUCACUUGUCUUUUAAAUGGGGACCUGUAUGAAUGGCAUAACGAGGGCUUAACUGUCUCCUCUUUCAAGUCAAUGAAAUUGAUCUCCCCGUGCAGAAGCGAGGAUAGAUACAUAAGACGAGAAGACCCUAUGGAGCUUUAGACACUAAAGCAGAUCAGUAUUAAUACCCUGAACAUAGGCUACGAAUAAACUGACCCCUGCCCUAAUGUCUUUGGUUGGGGCGACCGCGGAGAAAAAUAAAACCCCCGCAAGGACUAAAUGUACUACAUUCACAAACAAGAGCGACAGCUCUAACUAACAGAACUUCUGACCAAUAAGAUCCGGCAAUGCCGAUCAAUGAACCGAGUUACCCUAGGGAUAACAGCGCAAUCUCCUCUUAGAGCCC
rnacentral:rRNA from 1 species